rnacentral:tRNA from 1 species
GGGUACUUAGCUCAGUUUGGGAGAGCGUCGUCCUUACAAGGCGAGGGUCGCAGGUUCAAUUCCUGCAGUACCUA